ACGUGGCUACGAACCACGGUGUCGGGGGUUCGAAUCCCUCCUCGCCCA
rfam:Hordeum vulgare subsp. vulgare, WGS project CAJW01000000 data, contig: morex_contig_482018